GUAGCUGUGAUCCUAUGGAACCGAGGUUCAUCACAGCAUCUGUCACUGCAAAUUGGUCAGAUAUUGGACUUGAUUCAUCAGCUGUAGUUGAUGCUCGUGAUCUUUGGGAACAUUCAACUAAAUCGUCCGUUCAGGGAAAGAUUACGGCCACAUUGGAUGCUCAUGCUUGCAAGAUGUUUGUCUUGACACCAAAGUGAUGCUCACCGUUGAUGGAUAUUAGAAAUAUGGUAGAAGACAUUGGUUUUAGUUUGAGCACAUCCAGAUUUCAGAUGUGCUACUCCAGUGGCAAUUGUACCUACUUUUCAUGAUAUUAUUCUACCAUCUUAUAUUGAUAAUAUGGAAAAUAAAAGAACUUCGAUGCUCCUGCUUGGCAUCUGAUUGAAUGUGAAGCACCUUUGUUCUUCU